rnacentral:rRNA from 1 species
UAACGCGUGGGUAACCUGCCUCAUACAGGGGGAUAACAGUUAGAAAUGACUGCUAAUACCGCAUAAGACCACAGCACCGCAUGGUGCGGGGGUAAAAACUCCGGUGGUAUGAGAUGGACCCGCGUCUGAUUAGCUAGUUGGUAAGGUAACGGCUUACCAAGGCGACGAUCAGUAGCCGACCUGAGAGGGUGACCGGCCACAUUGGGACUGAGACACGGCCCAAACUCCUACGGGAGGCAGCAGUGGGGAAUAUUGCACAAUGGGGGAAACCCUGAUGCAGCGACGCCGCGUGAGCGAAGAAGUAUUUCGGUAUGUAAAGCUCUAUCAGCAGGGAAGAAAAUGACGGUACCUGACUAAGAAGCACCGGCUAAAUACGUGCCAGCAGCCGCGGUAAUACGUAUGGUGCAAGCGUUAUCCGGAUUUACUGGGUGUAAAGGGAGCGUAGACGGAUGGGCAAGUCUGAUGUGAAAACCCGGGGCUCAACCCCGGGACUGCAUUGGAAACUGUUCAUCUAGAGUGCUGGAGAGGUAAGUGGAAUUCCUAGUGUAGCGGUGAAAUGCGUAGAUAUUAGGAGGAACACCAGUGGCGAAGGCGGCUUACUGGACAGUAACUGACGUUGAGGCUCGAAAGCGUGGGGAGCAAACAGGAUUAGAUACCCUGUAGUCCACGCCGUAAACGAUGACUACUAGGUGU